rnacentral:rRNA from 1 species
UACGGGGGGAGCAAGCGUUGUUCGGAUUUACUGGGCGUAAAGGGCGCGUAGGCGGUCGUGACAAGUCACUUGUGAAAUCUCCGGGCUUAACUCGGAACGGUCAAGUGAUACUGUCGGACUAGAGUACAGAAGGGGCAACUGGAAUUCUCGGUGUAGCGGUGAAAUGCAUAGAUAUCGAGAGGAACACCUGCGGCGAAGGCGGGUUGCUGGGCUGAUACUGACGCUGAGGCGCGAAAGCCAGGGGAGCGAACGGG